rnacentral:rRNA from 1 species
AUAUGCUUGUCCCAAAGCUUAAGCCAUGCAAGUGUGAGAUCAAUAGUAAAAAAUGCUAAAAUCUGCGAGAGGCUCCGUAUAUCUGUUAUAACCCACCACUAUCGAUAGCCGAGACGGAAUACCCCCGGUAAUUCUGAGGCUAAUACGAUUGAUGAAAUGAUAGGGGGUCUCCCCGCUCGGUGCCUUAUAAAAAACAAGGCAAAGGGGGGGGGUCGGCUGACCUUCGGUCUUGCGGCCUGAUCAACGCCCCACAUCCGGAGUCACCGGAGGGGACCGCGUGAAGGCCCGCAAGAGCACCUAGACCGGAAUUGCCCGGUUUAGGUGAAGGGCGUCAGACCUAUCAACUAGAGGGUUUGAGCGGGGCUCGCCCUGGUUAUAACGGGUACAGAGGAUCAGGGUUCGGUCCUGGAGAGGUAGCCUUAGAAAUCGCUACUACUUCUAAGGAAGGCAGCAGGCGCGCAACGUUCCCAAUGGGCWYGCCCCUGAGGACGUGACGGGACAUAGCAAUACUGGACCCUAAUGGGUUCGGUAAUUGAAAUGGGGGGCCUUUAAAGCCCACCCCGAGUAACAAUUGGAGGACAAGUCUGGUGCCAGCACCCGCGGUAAUUCCAGCUCCGAUAGCGUCUCAUUAAGUUGCUGCAGUUAAAACGCUCGUAGUCCGAGUCGGUGCGGGGUUCGGGGGCUUAGUAGCUCUGCCGGGCCGGUGCGGGAAGAUAGGGGGUGGUGUGGCCCAGACGGGCCUCCCGCUCACCUCUCCCCUGCCGGCCCCGGAGCGAAGGCCCUCUUGAGCCCCCGCCAACUCGCCCUGAGGCCGGGUGGGGGGACCUUAAGUGGUCCACUCCGCCCCCCGGGGCACUCUACUUUGAAUAAACUCAAGCGCUCAAAGCCGCCCAUUUUUAGGGGCACCAAACGCUCACUCAGAUAUCAGCAAAGCAUAAUGGAAUAGGAUCCCUCUCCUAUCCCGUUGGUGUAUGAGGGGAUAAUGAUCGAUAAGGGGGAUCGGGGCCGGCCACAUGGCGGGGGUAGGGGUGAAAUCUAUUGAUCCCCGCCAGGUGAACUAAAGCGAAAGCAGCCGGCCAGUACCUUCCGUUUGAUCAAGAACGAAAGUCUGGGGAUCGAAGACGAUCAGAUACCGUCGUAGUCCAGACCCUAAAUUUUGCCGGCCAUGGAUGGGCGCUAGUCCAUCCCGACCCAGCCCGGACCUUAUGGGAAACCAUAAGCGUUUGGGCUCCGGGGGGAGUAUGGUUGCAAAGCUGAAACUUAAAGGAAUUG